GUGGAUUAGAUACCCUGGUAGUCCACGCCCUAAACGAUGUCAACUAGCUGUUGGGGCCUUCGGGCCUUGGUAGCGCAGCUAACGCGUGAAGUUGACCGCCUGGGGAGUACGGUCGCAAGAUUAAAACUCAAAGGAAUUGACGGGGACCCGCACAAGCGGUGGAUGAUGUGGAUUAAUUCGAUGCAACGCGAAAAACCUUACCUACCCUUGACAUGUCUGGAAUCCCGAAGAGAUUUGGGAGUGCUCGCAAGAGAACCGGAACACAGGUGCUGCAUGGCUGUCGCCAACU
rnacentral:rRNA from 1 species